rnacentral:rRNA from 1 species
GAUGAACGCUAGCUAUAGGCUUAACACAUGCAAGUCGAGGGACCGGCGCACGGGUGCGUAACGCGUAUGCAACUUGCCUCUCACAGGGGGAUAACCCGUCGAAAGACGGACUAAUACCGCGUACUGUGGGAUAGGCAUGCGUCCCAUUAGGUAGUUGGUGAGGUAACGGCACACCAAGGCAACGAUGGGUAGGGGAACGGAGAGGUUGACCCACCAAACUGGAACUGAGACACGGACCAGACUCCGACGGGAGGCAGCAGGGAGGAAUAUUGGUCAAUGGGCGAGAGCCUGAACAAGCCAAGUAGCGUGAAGGAUGACUGUCUAUGGAUUGUAAACUUCUUUUGUAGAAGAAUAUGUACCAGACGAAUAAGCAUCGGCUAACUCCGUGCCAGCAGCCGCGGUAAUUC